UACGUAGGGUGCGAGCGUUGUCCGGAAUUAUUGGGCGUAAAGGGCUCGUAGGCGGUCUGUUGCGUCAGGAGUGAAAACUCGGGGCUUAACCCCGAGCCUGCUUCUGAUACGGGCAGACUAGAGGUAUGCAGGGGAGAACGGAAUUCCUGGUGUAGCGGUGAAAUGCGCAGAUAUCAGGAGGAACACCGGUGGCGAAGGCGGUUCUCUGGGCAUUACCUGACGCUGAGGAGCGCAAGUGUGGGGAGCGAACAGG
rnacentral:rRNA from 1 species